GCUCGAACUCACGGACCGCGAGAUCGUGACCUGGCUGAAGUCGGACGCUUAACCGACUGCGCCACCCAGGCGCCCCAAAGAAGUUUUGUUUUUAACAGUGUGUAGGAAGAGAUGAUUUAGGUUACCUAGGACUAAACAUUAAUACAUGAUCUUAUAAGGUCACUGCUCAUUUCUACCCGACCACCUCCCAUCCCAGGUCUGCAGCACAGAAAUCUUCGUUUUGUUCACUGAUUCCUUUCAAGUGCUUAGAACGUGCUAGAGAAAUACUUUUGGCAUGUGUGAGUGGUGAAUCAAUCAGUCAGUUGAUCAGUCGGUGAUUUAUCCAUCUCCCUCACUUCAGGUGUGUGAACCUUUGAGUACCGAGGGCCACUCGGCCCUCGCCCGCAGCGGGGCUGUGGUUGUGGGAGAAGGACGCUCUGCUGUGCUGGGGCCUCGCCUGGUCACCCACGUGGGACGUGCGCGAGACACCUUCCGCGGCACAGCCUAGGCGAAGUGCCCAAUCUGAUGCUGUGCCAGUUCUGAAGAAACCAGCAGCAGCAGAAGCUCUUCCUCGAACAAGGCACUGGUCAUGCCUCAAUUAGGACCCAUCUUCCUGCUCCCAGUACUUCUGCCCUCACAUCUCCUGAUAGGAUAUGGUACCAGUAGGGCAGGACACCAGCCCUGAGGAGAAGAGCCCAGGACUCUUCACAUGGAAUGAGUGCCUUUUCUAUACUGCCAGGAACAUGAGGACAGCCCAACAAUGGCUGUACAGGUAGGUUCACCUCUCAGGUAGGUGCUCAUAGGGGACAGAAGAAGGUGCCUAGACAACACCACUUUGCUCCCUGUACUUUCAUUCAUGCCUCUGUUGUGCCCAGGCAUUAAGCUAAUACAUGAGAAUCGUACACAGCAUAACAACUAUGUUCGUUAUUAUGACUGUGGUACCAAUAUACCAGGUUUCACCAGUCUGGGGCUACAAGUCCAGUCUGGUGAACAUAAGUAUCUACAUUUUAAUGACUCUUGGCCUUCACCUGUUCACAGAGGGUCUUAGAAUCUUGCAGAAUUUGACUUCAGUUCCUAUGCUAAGGAUGAUUCUGGAAUCUCGCUGCCCAAGAGUCAGUUCUGGCUACUGCUCUGUCACCAUGUUGCUAGUCAGGUGCAGAUGUACUGGCCAUGCUGCUUUCUGGGCAUUGUUUCUGUAGCUGCUGUCCUCAGCAGCCCCUGAAAAGCUGUAGCACCUGGGCUACACUACAACCUUCAUGAAUGUCCUCUCUUGACCUAUGGUGUCGCCAUCAUUGUGGGAGUCUGCUCUUGCUGCUGGCCGUGCUGGGUCUCUGGGUCUGGGGAUCCACAGAUAAUGGCUUCAAGAGCUAGGAGGGUUCUGGUCUUGCUUGGUCUAGAUUCAAGAUCUCUACCAGUUCUUCCAAGGGAAUUAUGCUUGUGCAUAAUUGAGACAGAGACAGCUAUUUAUUCACUGGAGAGAGGGACCUCACAGGAAGAUUCUUUGAGCUCUAUAAGUCUCUAAUGUUCUGUGAGGCCAGUCUCCUAGGUCCUCCACCCAGCCUAUCUUCUAAAAGUACAUACCUGCGGUUAUAGUAGGCUGGGUUUGGGUCAGGUCAAGGACCAGCCUCUCUGUUUUUCUAAAACCAGUAAGUUACUUGGGCCCUCAGAGUUUGAAGAUGAGUGGGGUUUGCAUAUGAGAUGCCUUUGUCUGUUGUAGCAAACAUUUUCUGUGAUGCCGUAUUGCUCCUUCCUACAAUGGCUCUUGUCAGGGACCCUAGGGUAUCAGCUAUCUCUGUACCCUAUUAACAAAGUUUAAGUUCUUGCUUUUCCAGACAUACCUCAGGCCCACACAGUCCAGGGAACAGAGGAGGAGCUUAGUGGACACAGUUAUUCUGUGUGGUUGCCCAGCAUCUAAACCCCCUCCCUCUAUCUAAGGAAUUGUUCCACCUACUAGACAUGCAUGAGGCCGAGUUCAGCUCCCCACAAGGAGCUGGAAAUGCCAGGUUGGUCCUUAGUGGCCUCUCUUGAAGUGGGCACAGUCCCCACCCACCUGCCCUAAACUCUGCCUUGGCUCUUAGCCCUCCAAAUCAUUCCUUUAAUAAUGCUCCUAUCUGCUAAAAUCCACCAGAGAUUGUUGAUGAUUGGAGGCUAAGAAUCCUGUCUGAAGUAAAGAGUUUCAUUUCUACCUGACCCUAGCUCCACCCUGUUAGAUAAAAAUGUGUUUGGUUGUCUCUCUUCCUCCUUUCCCUUCCCCUCCCUAUCUGUUCCCCUUUCCUGCUGAUCAGUAAGGAAAAAAACCAGCAACUUCAAUAGAAAAAUGGGCAAAGGACAUGGACAGGCAAACGACAGAAGAGAAACACGAGAAGCUACUAAGGAUAUGACCAGAUGCUCAAAAUCACUGAUAAUCAGAGAAACCCAAAUUAAAAGCUCUGUGAGAUAGCGUUUAUCUCACAGGCACCUGUUAGGCUGGCAACCAUUCAAAAACCAGGUAAUGCUGAGCUGGAGGGGAUCUGGUGACAUAGAUAUCAAUCAUGUAUCGCUGAUGGAAGUGUAGAUAGGUACAGCCAUUCUGGAAAGCAGUCUGGUUCUAUUUGGUUGAGUCGAGUCCUACGUUUGCACGCCCCAUGACCUAACAAUCCUGCUCCUGGAUAUACAACCCAGGGAAAUCAUCAUACCAACACAUAAGAGAACACUUAUAAAGAAGUUUCUUGCAGCAUAUUUAUAUGGUGGCUGGUAAUUAGAGGUAACUGAGUGUCCACUGCUGGGAGACUGGGGCCAGGGCACACGAUAGGGUGUUACAGUGAGGUUAGAUGUCUUGAGGUAGGUGUCACACAGCAACAGGGCAGAAUGGUACAAGCACAGACAAGAGGAAACAUAAGAUAUAUUGUAUAAUUGCUUUUCUGUAAACUUAAAAAAUAUAUGCACGUAAAUCAGCAAUGCACAUUUUGCAAGAACACAUCCAAAUAAAGAUGAGCAUUCAUACAGUAAAAGAAUGACCUGUAGAAAGAGGGGAAUGAGAGUAGGGAAGUGGGAUAAAAGAAGGCACAUUAAUUAAUAAAAUAACCAAAGGACUUUGUGCAGACCAAGAAUAAUAAUGCGGCAUGGACCGAGCAAUAGGAGUAAUUUGAGCCUCUUCAACCAAAGCAAACAAAAUGAAACAGACAAAAACAACCACCACCACUAAAGAGCAAGCAUGAUGUGUACGUAAAAUCUUGGUUACACAGGUAGAGGGUGAUGUGGACUCCACAGCAGACCCUGAGGGUGGGCCACGUGAGACAAGGCAGGAAAGACCCUGUCCAUGUUAGGAGAAUCAGAGCAGGCUUCAUCUGAGUAAAUGUUACCUACGUAAGAACAGGCCUCUUUCCAGGUGGCCCAUCAAAGAGGUCUGCUCACAUCAUAGAAGAACCUUUCCACCCCCUUAUAUGGACCUUGGGAUCAAAUCCAUAUUUGAUUAACACACCAGAAGCACAGCACUUACAUCAGUUAUGCUCACAUGUCCCGAUGGAUGGUCAGGGAGACAUAAAGAUGGCCUCCUGGCUGGGCCCAGAGCGCUCUAGUGGACCCAGAAGCAUGUGCUAGGCCAUCUCCAGUGGCUAAUUGGAAAUUGCUCUCCAUAUUAUAAUGCCUCCCCAUAAAAAGUUCAACUGUGCAUGAAUAAAAGGAAGGAUCUAAGCUCAGCCAGGAAAGAAGUGGUACCAAGGGCAUUAGCAAUUCCCUGGCAUCUGCUUCCUCUGACUAAGGGACAAACCACUCUCCCUCUAAAGAAAUGAUAGCAGUUAAAGGAGACCCCAAACCAUCUUCUCAAUAAUAUUGAAGGCCUAACUAAAGGGGGAAAAAAAGGAAUUAAUAGAGUAGAACUCUAUUACCCUGGAGGGGUAAGAGUCUAAAUGGGUGAGCUUUUGCUCCUUGUCUGGGAAAAGGCAGCUAACAGGCCAACCUUCUGGGGUGAGUAGGAGGGGCAAUAUUGCAUUCCACAGUGUCCUGAAGACACACUGUGAAGACACUGUCAUUCCUCUAUAAUGUAGAGCUGGAGGGACAGAGCUGGUGAUCACGGUCUACCAAGGUGGAAACCUAGUCCAAGCCCAUUCCCUGCUUAUACAGAGAGCCCACCCUCUAGAAUAUUCUCAAGCCCUGUUCCUGGACUGAGUGCCCUCUGGUGCUGGCAAAAGAAAGGUAGAUCCUCUCCGAAAGAAAAUCCUAGGUCUCAAAUUAAUUUUCAAAUAAUCAUUUCAUUUAACAUGUCCAGAAGGAACACAGGCACACAAGGCACGUGAGACAAAACAACAUGUCUCAGAAUCAACAGAAGCCAUAAGCCAUAGAAAUAGACCCACCAGGAUCUCCCAUAGAGUUCCUAGGUACAACCUGUAAUAGAAUAAUGCUUACUGUGUCAGGGAGAUAAAAGCAGAAUUUAAAGUUUUAUAUAAGGAUAUGGAAAAAUUUAAAGCCACACUGCUGAUUAAAAAAAAAAAUCAAUUAGACAUUAUAGAACUAAAAAGUGCAAAAAUCAUGGGGCACCUGGGUGGCUCAGUCAGCUGAGCAUCUGACUUUGGCUUAGGUCAUGAUCUCAGAGAGUUUG